rnacentral:lncRNA from 1 species
CACGGGGGGGUAACUUCGAUAUUUUCUUGGUAAGGGUGUGCCAUUUUUGCCUCAAAAAACGUACCCAUUUUAAUAUAACAUUCACUGAAAUUCAGUACCUAUAGUUAUAUAAAUAUUUAAGAAAGAAUGACCUAUACUUAUAUACAAUAUUUAAAUAUGACCCAUGCUUAUAUAAGCACCAACUCACCGGAGUUCAUUUGGGAACUUA